rnacentral:rRNA from 1 species
AGCAGCAGCCACGGUAAAACGUAGGGUGCGAGCGUUAAUCGGAAUUACUGGGCGUAAAGCGUGCGCAGGCGGUUUGUUAAGACAGAUGUGAAAUCCCCGGGCUCAACCUGGGGACUGCAUUUGUGACUGGCAAGCUAGAGUAUGGCAGAGGGGGGUGGAAUUCCGCGUGUAGCAGUAAAAUGCGUAGAUAUGCGGAGGAACACCGAUGGCGAAGGCAGCCCCCUGGGCCAAUACUGACGCUCAUGCACGAAAGCGUGGGGAGCAAACAGGAUUAGAUACCCCCGUAGUCCCUGUCUCUUAUAC